AUUGAACGCUGGCGGCAGGCCUAACACAUGCAAGUCGAGCGGAUGAAGGGAGCUUGCUCCUGGAUUCAGCGGCGGACGGGUGAGUAAUGCCUAGGAAUCUGCCUGGUAGUGGGGGAUAACGUCCGGAAACGGGCGCUAAUACCGCAUACGUCCUGAGGGCGAAAGAAGGGGAUCUUCGGACCUCACGCUAUCAGAUGAGCCUAGGUCGGAUUAGCUAGUUGGUGGGGUAAAGGCCUACCAAGGCGACGAUCCGUAACUGGUCUGAGAGGAUGAUCGGUCACACUGGAACUGAGACACGGUCCAGACUCCUACGGGAGGCAGCAGUGGGGAAUAUUGGACAAUGGGCGAAAGCCUGAUCCAGCCAUGCCGCGUGUGUGAAGAAGGUCGUCGGAUUGUAAAGCACUUUAAGUUGGGAGGAAGGGCAGUAAGUUAAUACCUUGCUGUUUUGACGGUACCAACAGAAUAAGCACCGGCUAACUUCGUG
rnacentral:rRNA from 1 species